rnacentral:rRNA from 1 species
CCUACGGGGCGCAGCAGUAGGGAAUCUUCGGCAAUGGACGAAAGUCUGACCGAGCAACGCCGCGUGAGUGAAGAAGGCUUUCGGAUCGUAAAACUCUGUUGGUAGAGAAGAACGUUGGCGAGAGUGGUAAGCUCAUCACGUGACGGUAACUACCCAGAAAGGGACGGCUAACUACGUGCCAGCAGCCGCGGUAAUACGUAGGUGCCGAGCGUUGUCCGGAUUUAUUGGGCGUAAAGCGAGCGCAGGUGGUUUCUUAAGUCUGGUGUAAAAGGCAGCGGCUCAACCGUGGUAUGCCUUGGAAACUG